GGGCCCGCACAAGCGGUGGAGCAUGUGGUUUAAUUCGAUGAUACGCGAGGAACCUUACCAGGGCUUAAAUGUAAGUUGCAUUAGUUAGAGAUAGCUAUUUCUUCGGACUCAUUACAAGGUGCUGCAUGGUUGUCGUCAGCUCGUGCCGUGAGGUGUCAGGUUAAGUCCUAUAACGAGCGCAACCCCUAUCGUUAGUUGCCAGCGAGUAAUGUCGGGAACUCUAACGAAACUGCCAGUGCAAACUGUGAGGAAGGUGGGGAUGACGUCAAAUCAUCACGGCCCUUACGUCCUGGGCUACACACGUGCUACAAUGGCCGGUACAGAGAGCAGCCACUUCGCAAGAAGGAGCGAAUCUACAAAACCGGUCUCAGUUCGGAUCGCAGUCUGCAACUCGACUGCGUGAAGCUGGAAUC
rnacentral:rRNA from 1 species